rnacentral:rRNA from 1 species
AGUGAACGCUGGCGGUAGGCCUAACACAUGCAAGUCGAACGGCAGCACAGGAGAGCUUGCUCUCUGGGUGGCGAGUGGCGGACGGGUGAGGAAUACAUCGGAAUCUACUCUGUCGUGGGGGAUAACGUAGGGAAACUUACGCUAAUACCGCAUACGACCUACGGGUGAAGGCAGGGGACCUUCGGGCCUUGCGCGAUUGAAUGAGCCGAUGUCGGAUUAGCUAGUUGGCGGGGCAAAGGCCCACCAAGGCGACGAUCCGUAGCUGGUCUGAGAGGAUGAUCAGCCACACUGGAACUGAGACACGGUCCAGACUCCUACGGGAGGCAGCAGUGGGGAAUAUUGGACAAUGGGCGCAAGCCUGAUCCAGCCAUACCGCGUGGGUGAAGAAGGCCUUCGGGUUGUAAAGCCCUUUUGUUGGGAAAGAAAUCCAGCUGGCUAAUACCCGGUUGGGAUGACGGUACCCAAAGAAUAAGCACCGGCUAACUUCGUGCCAGCCGCCGCGGUAA